UACGUAGGAUGCAAGCGUUGUCCGGAAUUACUGGGCGUAAAGGGCGAGUAGGCGGCCCCGCAAGUCAGAUGUGAAAUAGCCCGGGCUUAACCGGGAGGGGUCAUUUGAAACUGCGGAGCUAGAGUGCAGGAGAGGCUAGCGGAAUUCCCGGUGUAGUGGUGAAAUGCGUAGAUAUCAGGAGGAACACCGAUGGCGAAGGCAGGUCUCUGGGCCAUAACUGACGCUGAGAAGCGAAAGCAUGGGGAGCGAACAGG
rnacentral:rRNA from 1 species